UACGGAGGAUGCAAGCGUUAUCCGGAUUUAUUGGGUUUAAAGGGUGCGUAGGCGGGAAAAUAAGUCAGUGGUGAAAUCCUACAGCUUAACUGUAGAAUUGCCGUUGAUACUGUUUUUCUUGAGUAUGGUCAAGGAAGGCGGAAUGUGUAAUGUAGCGGUGAAAUGCUUAGAUAUUACACAGAACACCAAUUGCGAAGGCAGCUUUCUGGCCCAUUACUGACGCUGAGGCACGAAAGCGUGGGGAUCGAACAGGAUUAGAUACCCUGGUAGU
rnacentral:rRNA from 1 species